rnacentral:rRNA from 1 species
UGGGGAAUAUUGCACAAUGGGCGCAAGCCUGAUGCAGCAACGCCGCGUGAGGGACGACGGCCUUCGGGUUGUAAACCUCUUUUAGUAGGGAAGAAGCGAAAGUGACGGUACCUGCAGAAAAAGCACCGGCUAACUACGUGCCAGCAGCCGCGGUAAUACGUAGGGUGCGAGCGUUGUCCGGAAUUAUUGGGCGUAAAGAGCUCGUAGGCGGUCUGUCGCGUCUGCUGUGAAAACCCGAGGCUCAACCUCGGGCCUGCAGUGGGUACGGGCAGACUAGAGUGCGGUAGGGGAGAAUGGAAUUCCUGGUGUAGCGGUGGAAUGCGCAGAUAUCAGGAGGAACACCGAUGGCGAAGGCAGUUCUCUGGGCCGUAACUGACGCUGAGGAGCGAAAGCGUGGGGAGCGAACAGGAUUAGAUACCCUGGUAGUCCACGCCGUAAACGUUGGGCGCUAGAUGUGGGGGCACCAUUCCACGGUUUCCGUGUCGCAGCUAACGCAUUAAGCGCCCCGCCUGGGGAGUACGGCCGCAAGGCUAAAACUGCAAAUGAAUUGACGGGGUCAUAGCUGUUUCC